rnacentral:rRNA from 1 species
GUAACCUGCCUGUAAGACUGGGAUAACUCCGGGAAACCGGGGCUAAUACCGGAUGCUUGAUUGAACCGCAUGGUUCAAUUAUAAAAGGUGGCUUUUAGCUACCACUUACAGAUGACCCGCGGCGCAUUAGCUAGUUGGUGAGGUAACGGCUCACCAAGGCGACGAUGCGUAGCCGACCUGAGAGGGUGAUCGGCCACACUGGGACUGAGACACGGCCCAGACUCCUACGGGAGGCAGCAGUAGGGAAUCUUCCGCAAUGGACGAAAGUCUGACGGAGCAACGCCGCGUGAGUGAUGAAGGUUUUCGGAUCGUAAAACUCUGUUGUUAGGGAAGAACAAGUACCGUUCGAAUAGGGCGGUACCUUGACGGUACCUAACCAGAAAGCCACGGCUAACUACGUGCCAGCAGCCGCGGUAAUACGUAGGUGGCAAGCGUUGUCCGGAAUUAUUGGGCGUAAGCGCGCGCAGGCGGUUUCUUAAGUCUGAUGUGAAAGCCCCCGGCUCAACCGGGGAGGGUCAUUGGAAACUGGGGAACUUGAGUGCAAAGAGGAGAGUGGAAUUCCACGUGUAGCGGUGAAAUGCGUAGAGAUGUGGAGGAACACCAGUGGCGAAGGCGACUCUCUGGUCUGUAACUGACGCUGAGGCGCGCGAAGCGUGGGGAGCGAACAGGAUUAGAUACCCUGGUAGUCCACGCCGUAAACGAUGAGUGAUAAGUGUUAGAGGGUUUCCGCCCUUAGUGCUGCAGCAAACGCAUUAAGCACUCCGCCUGGGGAGUACGGUCGCAAGACUGAAACUCAAAGGAAUUGACGGGGGCCCGCACAAGCGGUGGAGCAUGUGGUUUAAUUCGAAGCAACGCGAAGAACCUUACCAGGUCUUGACAUCCUCUGACAACCCUAGAGAUAGGGCUUCCCCUUCGGGGGCAGAGUGACAGGUGGUGCAUGGUUGUCGUCAGCUCGUGUCGUGAGAUGUUGGGUUAAGUCCCGCAACGAGCGCAACCCUUGAUCUUAGUUGCCAGCAUUCAGUUGGGCACUCAAGGUGACUGCCGGUGACAAACCGGAGGAAGGUGGGGAUGACGUCAAAUCAUCAUGCCCCUUAUGACCUGGGCUACACACGUGCUACAAUGGGCAGAACAAAGGGCAGCGAAGCCGCGAGGCUAAGCCAAUCCCACAAAUCUGUUCUCAGUUCGGAUCGCA